rnacentral:rRNA from 1 species
GAUGAACGCUGGCGGCGUGCUUAACACAUGCAAGUCGAACGGUGAAAGCGGAGCUUGCUCUGCUGGAUCAGUGGCGAACGGGUGAGUAACACGUGAGCAAUCUGCCCCUGACUCUGGGAUAAGCGCUGGAAACGGCGUCUAAUACCGGAUACGAGCUGCGAAGGCAUCUUCAGCAGCUGGAAAGAACUUCGGUCAGGGAUGAGCUCGCGGCCUAUCAGCUGGUUGGUGAGGUAACGGCUCACCAAGGCGUCGACGGGUAGCCGGCCUGAGAGGGUGACCGGCCACACUGGGACUGAGACACGGCCCAGACUCCUACGGGAGGCAGCAGUGGGGAAUAUUGCACAAUGGGCGAAAGCCUGAUGCAGUAACGCCGCGUGAGGGACGACGGCCUUCGGGUUGUAAACCUCUUUUAGCAGGGAAGAAGCGAAAGUGACGGUACCUGCAGAAAAAGCGCCGGCUAACUACGUGCCAGCAGCCGCAGUAA